rnacentral:lncRNA from 1 species
AAUCUAGCUUACCUUCUCCUUCUCCUCCUUCCACACCUUCAACGAGCCGCGAGCACAGCCAGUAAACGGUCGCCGGACUCCUCCCCCAACACCGCCGCCGCCUCGACGUUUGGUGCCAAUCCCCCGGCGACCGUGGUGUCUCGUGCCUUAUCUCUUCGGGUGCUACGGCGGAGGAAGAGCGCGAGGGCUGAUUUCUAGGGUUUCGACGGGUUUAGUGAAGGGAGAAGAGGUGGUGAGGGGAGAAGAGGGAUACGACCCAGGAAG